rfam:Ixodes scapularis strain Wikel colony gcontig_1108378885088, whole genome shotgun sequence.
GCCGGGAUGGUCUAACCGGUUAAGGCGUCGUCCCGGACAGGCGAAGGUUGCGGGUUCAAUCCUCGCUUCUGGCC